rnacentral:rRNA from 1 species
UGCGGCCAACUCCAGUUGAUCCUGCUGGAGGGUACUGCUAUCGGGGUCGGACUAAGCCAUGCAAGCCGUGGGGCCAGGGCUGGCUGGUCCCGGCGGACGGCUGAGUAACACGUGGCCAACCUACCCUCGGGAGGGGGAUAACCCCGGGAAACUGGGGCUAAUCCCCCAUAGGUGAGGUGUGCUGGGAUGCCCCUCACCGAAAGGGUGCCGCGCCAUGCCCGCGGUUACCGCCCGAGGAUGGGGCUGCGGCGGAUUAGGUAGUUGGUGGGGUAACGGCCCACCAAGCCGACGAUCCGUAGGGGCCGUGUGAGCGGGAGCCCCCAGAAGGCCACUGAGACAAGGGGCCUAGCCCUACGGGGUGCAGCAGGCGCGAAACCUCCGCAAUGCGGGAAACCGUGACGGGGUGACCCCGAGUGCCGGAGGGGGCAACCUCUCCGGCUUUUCCCCGGUGUAAACAGCCGGGGGAAUAAGCGGGGGGCAAGGCGCGUGGCAGCCGCCGCGGUAACACGUCGCUCCGCGAGUGGUACCCGCGAAUAUUGGGCCUAAAGCGUCCGUAGCCGGCCCAGUAAGUCCUCGGUUAAAUCGGCGGGCUUAACCCGUCGACCGCCGGGGAUACUGCUGGGCUCGGGACCGGGAGAGACCGAGGGUAUUCCUGGGGUAGGGGUAAAAUCCUAUAAUCCUGGGAGGACCACCUGUGGCGAAGGCGCUCGGUCAGAACGGGUCCGACGGUGAGGGACGAAAGCUGGGGGAUCAAACCGGAUUAGAGACCCGGGUAGUCCCAGCUGUCAACCAUGCGGACUAGGUGUCGGGCGAGCUACGAGCUCGCCCGGUGCCGGAGGGAAGCCGUUAAGUCCGCCGCCUGGGGAGUACGGCCGCAAGGCUGAAACCUAAAGGAAUUGGCGGGGGAGCACUACAAGGGGUGGAGGGUGCGGUUCAAUUGGACUCAACGCCACACACCUCACCGGGGGAGACGGCAGGGUGAAGGUCAGUCUGAAGGGCUUACCUGACUCGUCGAGAGGUGGUGCAUGGCCAUCGUCAGCUCGUGCUGUGAAGUGUCCUGUUAAGUCAGGCAACGAGCGAGACCCGCGCCCCUAGUUGCGACGGGAUCCCUUGGGAUCCCGGCACUCUAGGGGGACUGCCGGCGUAAGUCGGAGGAAGGAGCGGGCGACGGUAGGUCAGUAUGCCCCGAAUCUCCCGGGCUACACGCGCCCUACAUUGGCCGGGACAAUGGGAAGCAACCCCGAAAGGGGGAGCCAAUCCCUUAAACCCGGCCCCGGUUCGGAUCGCGGGCUGGAACUCGCCCGCGUGAAGGUGGAAUCCCCAGUAAUCGCGCGUCACUAUCGCGCGGUGAAUACGUCCCUGCUCCUUGCACACACUGCCCGUCAAGCCAGCCGAGUGGGUUCUGGUUGAGGCGAGCUCCUUUUGGGGUUCGUCGAUUCCGGGGUCCGCGAGGGGGGCUAAGUCGUAACAAGGUGUCCGUAGGGGAACCUGCGGACGGAUCACCUCCU